rfam:Enterobius vermicularis genome assembly, scaffold: EVEC_scaffold0005019
CCAACGGCCCUCGUUAGGGCCACAUAAGACUGAAUUAAACGUCCCAG